GGACUACACGGGUAUCUAAUCCUGUUUGCUACCCACGCUUUCGUGCAUGAGCGUCAGUGUCGGCCCAGGGGGCUGCCUUCGCCAUUGGUGUUCCUCCACAUCUCUACGCAUUUCACUGCUACACGUGGAAUUCCACCCCCCUCUGCCGCACUCUAGCCUUCCAGUCACAAGCGCAGUUCCCAGGUUAAGCCCGGGGAUUUCACGCCUGUCUUAAAAAACCGCCUGCGCACGCUUUACGCCCAGUAAUUCCGAUUAACGCUCGCACCCUACGUAUUACCGCGGCUGCUGGCAC
rnacentral:rRNA from 1 species